rnacentral:rRNA from 1 species
CUUCCGUGCCGGAGCUAACGCGUUAAGUGCGCCGCCUGGGGAGUACGGCCGCAAGGUUAAAACUCAAAGAAAUUGACGGGGGCCCGCACAAGCGGAGGAGCAUGUGGCUUAAUUCGAUGCAACGCGAAGAACCUUACCAGGGCUUGACAUGGUGCUGCACGACCGGUGAAAGUCGGUUUCCUUUGAGGGUGCACCACAGGUGCUGCAUGGCUGUCGUCAGUUCGUGCCGUGAGGUGUUUGGUUAAGUCCAGCAACGAACGCAACCCCUGUGUCUAGUUGCCACCGACGGUGAUGAGCCGUCGAGCACUCUAGACAGACUGCCCGUACAAGCGGGAGGAAGGUGGGGACGACGUCAAGUCAGUAUGGCCCUUACGCCCUGGGCUGCACACGUGCUACAAUGGCCGGUACAGAUGGAUGCAAUAUCGCGAGGUGGAGCAAAUCCGCAAAACCGGCCUCAGUCCGGAUUGGAGUCUGAAACUCGACUCCAUGAAGUUGGAUUCGCUAGUAAUGCCGUAUCAGCUACGACGGCGUGAAUACGUUCCCGGGCCUUGUACACACCGCCCGUCACAUCAUGAAAGCCGUCUGCACCCGAAGUCGCUGAUCUGACCCGCAAGGGAGGAAGGCGCCGAAGGUGUGGGUGGUGAUUGGGAUGAAGUCGUAACAAGGUAACCAAGGGCGAA